UUCAACUACAGCCUUGUUAAAUGUCUCAAUCUUUUUUCUUGUCAUGACUGCUCAGGUAACAUAAACCUCCCUAUCCACAGUAUGUAACUGCAUUAUAUUAACAUUUUCCUUUUUGUGUUUGCUUUUUCUUGGCUUUUCUAAACCAAAAAGGAUAAGUUGAUCUUCUCUUUGACCAGCCAUAAGGGGCAGAAGAGAGGAACAUCCUGUCAAGAUAAACAGGAGGCUUGGCUGCACAGACAGACCCAGGAGAAAUCCUGCUUUUGGAAAUUGCAUUGUGUACUCAGGCUUUGAAUCAACAAGGGAACAGCAACACUGGAUGAUGUGGGCAGAGAGGCUUUGGAAGCUAAAAGCCCUGGAUUGAUGCGCCCUUCUCUACCACACAACACAGAUGUGAACACAUGGCUUUUGGGAACUCCACUCUCAUGGGGAAUCCAGGUGUACAGCCCUAAGGAGCAGCAGAGAUCCCACCCAAGGAG
rnacentral:lncRNA from 1 species